GAUCAUGGCUCAGGAUGAACGCUGGCGGCGUGCUUAAUACAUGCAAGUCGAGCGAAGGACGCAAGUCCUUAGCGGCGAACGGGUGAGUAACACGUAGGUAAUCUGCCCUAAGGGACCCCGGAUACCUUGAGGAAACUUAAGCUAAUAGGGGAUAGGAAAGGGACAGGCAUCUGUCGAUUUUGAAAAGUUCCUGAAAGGGAACGCCAAAGGAUGAACCUGCGGCGCAUUAGUUAGUUGGUGAGAUAACAGCCCACCAAG
rnacentral:rRNA from 1 species